UGACACAAUGGACAGUGUUGCGAAAUGUGCUCUGCGGCUCGAGCAGAAUCACAACCACAGGCAUUGAGACAGAGAGCGUUUUAAACCACAUUAUAACCUACAAAUAUCCUAUGGCUCUAAUUUUACUCACUUGACAAAUUGUGAGCGUCAAAAACCAAGUAUAUUAAUGCUUUUCGACCAACGUGCGCAGCAUGGCUUUAAUUUAUAUACAAUGGGCGUUCCUGAUCCAGCUUGUCUUUUGAAAGGCGACAAUGACACGCAGCCUCCUCCUAUGCUAUAAUCUACAUAAUCGUGGAGGGCCUGACAUGUCAGAGCAGAGUGCAGUGGUGAGGUCUCUGAUUGGUCAAAACAUCUCAGAUUGAACAUGCUGAUGGUGACAGAACCAGAUACAACUGGUGCUUCAUGAACCCUGGCUGCAUCAUAGGCCUGCCUCUUGCUUCUUCUCAACUGUCAACGGAAAGUUUCCACUUCUUGAAAAUGUGUGACCAUGUAAGGUUCCAAUCUGAAGAUGCUGUUUCUUAUAACUGAUCUGAUACAAGCUUCUCUCUCCACUGGCUAAUUCGCACCAGUCACAGACAUUUGAAUCAUUUUGCAGAUGCUCUUAUCCAGAGCGACUCACAAUAAAUAAGCUUUUGUUCUUGCGCAUCACAAACACAACUGAUUCAAAUAUUAAACUAAUCAAGGUCUUCUCUC